rnacentral:lncRNA from 1 species
GGUGCUCAUUAGAGAAUGAGUUCACUGAAUUGAUCCAACUUAAGAAACAUCUUAUGAAAUCUACUUAUCCAUCAAAAGAUAUCUUCUUAUAGUAGGAGUUGUGUAUGUAAUCCUUUGACCUGAGACUACCAUAGAAUCUUGUAUAUAUGAAUUCAUAUUUUGGUUCAUACUCAUUCAUGACUUAAUCAUGGUGAUCUGGAUAUGGUGGAAUGUGUAUAGAGAUUGUGAGUAGGUCAACAUAGAAUUGAUCACUCCUGGUAAGAAG